CUUUGGUGCUGGAGGCUUCUCAAUCUCUGUGAUUCCCUCAAGCAUUUGCACAACUCUUCCCAUCAUUGGCCUUUGAGAUGGUUGCUCUUGGAUACACCAAAAGCUCACCUGAAUUGCCCUCGUUGCUUGCUCCAUGUCCACAUCUUGAUCAACAAGCCUUUUGUCCACAAUGGCCUUCACGUUACCCUUCUCAAACUCUUCAUAAGCCCAAAGAGAGACCUUUUUUCGAUUUGGUUCAUCCAAGAUCUCAAAAUUUCUUCUUCCACUCACUAACUCCAGCAAAACCAUACCAUAACUGUAAACAUCAGA
rnacentral:misc_RNA from 1 species